GACGAACGCUGGCGGCGUGCCUAAUACAUGCAAGUCGAACGAUAGCGACCGGUGCUUGCACUUGUCAAUCUAGUGGCUAACGUGUGAGUAACACGUGGUUAACCUGCCCAUCAGUGGGUGAUAACAUCCGGAAACGGAUGCUAAUACCGCAUAGUUCUUCGAGCCGCAUUGCUUUAUGUGGUAAAGAGGCUCAUUCUUCUGCUUAUGGUUGUACCCGCGGUUCAUUAGCUAGUUGGUGAGGUAACGGGUCACCAAGGCCGUGAUGCAUAGACGAACUGAGAGGGUGAUCGGACACAGUGGGACUGAGACACGGAACAAACGACUACGGGAGGCAGCAGUAGGGAAUAUUCCGCAAUGGACGAAAGACUGACGGAGCAAAGCCGCGUGAGAGAAGAAGGUUUUAGGAUCGUAAAACUCUGUUGUGAGAGAAGAACAAGUGCGAGAGUAACUGUGAGCGGAUUGACGGUAACUAAACAGAAAGCCACGGCUAACUACGUG
rnacentral:rRNA from 1 species